CUCUCUCUCUCUCUCUCUUUUUCUUACAGAUUCCAAAGAAAUGGUCUCUCUCUUUCUCGAUGCAAAAUCACAGAAAAUGGAACAAAAUCUACCGUUGAUAGCCAAAAGAAUAUGGGAAACCGUGCGUGUUAUCUUCUUCAUGCUGCGAAAGGGCAUAUUAAAGAGAAAGCUUCUGGUUGAUCUCAACAUGAUGCUUAAACGCGGCAACAAGAUUGCAACUAAAGCCAUAGGGAAUCUCAUGUUCCACCAUCAUGACCACCACCGUGACAUCUCUUUCCCUGCCCCACCCCACGAGUACGAGUUCAGCUGCAGUAACACCCCCAUGUAUUCACUUCCCUUCCAUGUCAACAAGCGUCGCCACCACCGCCACCAGCACCACCAUAAUAACUUCUUCUCAUGUGCAUUCCACACUCCACAAACUCUUGAUGAUGAUGUUACAACCAUGAACGCUGUUAAGCUGGCUUUGGAGAUGAUAAACAAUAACAGCAAUGAGGUGAUGGUGGAGGCGUCUCCCAUGUUGCCGGGGUUUGGCAAGAGCCCAAUGGUGAGACAAUUGAGGAUAACGGACUCGCCGUUUCCAUUGAGAGAUGUUGAUGAUGAUAAUGGUAUUGUGGACAAGAAAGCUGAGGAGUUUAUAGAGAAGUUCUACAAGGAACUGAGGCAGCAGCAGCAGCGAAAGAAAUGAGAGAGUGGCUGAUCGAUGAGUGAGAAGGGUGUUGUGGUUUCAAUUUGGUUCUAUUGUUAAUAAAAAGUUUCAUGGAGUCUAUGUUCAGGAUCUCAAUGUUCUUGAUGUUGAAGAAGGCUGUAAUUAAGCAAUGAAUUAAAAUGAGGUGUAUAUUACAGGGAAUCAAAACUUGAUCCUUUGCUUAAUUGCUAUAUAUUUCAGUUAUAUUUGUAUACACUAAAUCAAUAAAUGCUUUAUAUGGAUGAAAUUUUG
rnacentral:misc_RNA from 1 species